CAUGUAUCUAAAUAACUUAAGAAGGUAUCUUUGUAGUCAUCAGUAAGAUAAUAAAAAAUAAGUAUUUUAUCUAACUGACUUCAUAGAGAUUUGAUGUUAUUUUCUAUGUAAAUUGGUUGAUUAAUAUGAAUACAAAAUUGAGUAUGUCAAUGUUUGGUUCAAGUGGAGACAUAAGCAACAAAAAGGAAAAUUAUGACUACGAGGAUAAAUGUAUCUAGGAUGAGAUUAACUCACUUUGAAUUGGGAUAAUUGAAAGAUAUCAAAAAGAGCCUUCGGAUCCUGUCAUUGGCGAUCUUUAUUCCUCUUAUAAAUUCAACUCUAUAACCGAUUCCCCUUCAUGAGAUAUAUCAGAAGAAGAUGUAGAUCUACGGGGUAUGGAACUUCCUUUAACACCAAAAAUUAUUGUUUCUAAGAUAAAUGUAAUUCAAUGGAUACUACUAAGAAUGUUCGAAACCUCUCCAUUGCAUAAAACAUAGUAAAUUUUGGGUGAAGAUGGUUGCAUUUUAAAUUUUUUAAAGUAAUCCAAGCCCUAAAAAAGUCUGCGUUGCAAUUUAGAUUUGCAUAGUUACGUGUCUCUUCUUUUACGAAUCUUGAAACACUAAAGUCCCUUACAAUGAUGUUAGAAGUUGCUGCUGUUUAAAUCACAUUUUCAAGAACAUUUUUAUAUGACUUUCCUGAUGGUGCAUACCCCCACUUAAUUAAUGUUUCGGAUCCAAAAACGUCGAGGAUAUUUCUAUUAAAUUUAUGUUAUGCAAUUCUCUAAUUGUUUGGGAAUG
rnacentral:lncRNA from 1 species